rnacentral:rRNA from 1 species
UACGUAGGGGGCAAGCGUUGUCCGGAAUUACUGGGCGUAAAGAGUUCGUAGGCGGUUUGUCGCGUCUGCCGUGAAAGUCCGGGGCUCAACUCCGGAUCUGCGGUGGGUACGGGCAGACUAGAGUGAUGUAGGGGAGACUGGAAUUCCUGGUGUAGCGGUGAAAUGCGCAGAUAUCAGGAGGAACACCGAUGGCGAAGGCAGGUCUCUGGGCAUUAACUGACGCUGAGGAGCGAAAGCAUGGGGAGCGAACAGG